rnacentral:rRNA from 1 species
UAGUACCCUACUACAUGGAUACCUGUGGUAAUUCUAGAGCUAAUACAUGCGCAAAACCCCGACUUCGGAAGGGGUGUAUUUAUUAGAUAAAAAACCAAUGCCCUUCGGGGCUCCUUGGUGAUUCAUAAUAACUUAACGAAUCGCAUGGCCUUGCGCCGGCGAUGGUUCAUUCAAAUUUCUGCCCUAUCAACUUUCGAUGGUAGGAUAGUGGCCUACCAUGGUGGCAACGGGUAACGGGGAAUUAGGGUUCGAUUCCGGAGAGGGAGCCUGAGAAACGGCUACCACAUCCAAGGAAGGCAGCAGGCGCGCAAAUUACCCAAUCCCGAUCCGGGGAGGUAGUGACAAUAAAUACUGAUAUAGGGCUCUUUUGGGUCUUAUAAUUGGAAUGAGUACAAUCUAAAUCUCUUAACGAGGAACAAUUGGAGGGCAAGUCUGGUGCCAGCAGCCGCGGUAAUUCCAGCUCCAAUAGCGUAUAUUAAAGUUGUUGCAGUUAAAAAGCUCGUAGUUGAACCUUGGGCCCGUCCUGCCGGUCCGCCUCACCGCGAGUACUGGUCCGGAUGGGUCUUUCUUUCUGGGGAAUCCCAUGGCCUUCACUGGCUGUGGCGGGGAACCAGGACUUUUACUGUGAAAAAAUUAGAGUGUUCAAAGCAGGCCUUUGCUCGGAUACAUUAGCAUGGAAUAAUAAAAUAGGACGUGUGGUUCUAUUUUGUUGGUUUCUAGGACCGCCGUAAUGAUUAAUAGGGAUAGUCGGGGGCGUCAGUAUUCAGCUGUCAGAGGUGAAAUUCUUGGAUUUGCUGAAGACUAACUACUGCGAAAGCAUUCGCCAAGGAUGUUUUCAUUAAUCAGGGAACGAAAGUUAGGGGAUCGAAAACGAUCAGAUACCGUUGUAGUCUUAACCAUAAACUAUGCCGACUAGGGAUC